rnacentral:misc_RNA from 1 species
AAGAUGAAGGCGAUGAACCGGUUCUUCGAGGACGGCGACAAGGUCAAGGUCACGCUGAAGUUCCGCGGCCGCGAAAUGGCCCACCAGGAACUGGGCAUGAAGCUUCUGCUCCAGGUCAAGGAUGAUACCCAGGCGAUCGCCAAGGUGGAGGCCGAGCCGAAGCUCGAAGGCCGCCAGAUGAUGAUGGUUCUGGCGCCGCGCUAAGCCGCCGCUGCCGUCAGUCGUAAGACCAAAUUGAAAAAGCCGCCUUCCGGGCGGCUUUUUUCUUCGAGGCCGGCGGCGGCCGCUGCAGA